rnacentral:rRNA from 1 species
GCGGCGAAGGGAGAGUAACGCGUAGAUAUCUGCCUCGAGGCCCGGGAUAGCGGCGGGAAACUGCCGGUAAUACCGGAUAACAUCUCCGGAUCAAAGGUGUGAUUCCGCCUCGAGAUGAGUCUGCGUCCUAUUAAUGCUUGUUGGUGUGGUAACGGCGCACCAAGGCGAAGAUGGGUACCGGGUGUGAGAGCAUGGCCCGGCUCACUGGGACUGAGACACUGCCCAGACACCUACGGGUGGCUGCAGUCGAGAAUCUUCGGCAAUGGGCGAAAGCCUGACCGAGCGACGCCGCGUGCGGGAUGAAGGCCCUCGGGUUGUAAACCGCUGUCAGUAGGGAGCAAAUCUCUUGGGGUUAUCCCCUUGAGUUGAGCGAUCUUCAGAGGAAGUACGGGCUAAGUUCGUGCCAGCAGCCGCGGUAAGACGAACCGUACGAACGUUAUUCGGAAUCACUGGGCUUAAAGAGUCCGUAGGCGGCCGUGUAGGUGGGAUGUGAAAGCCCUCGUCUCAACCGAGGAAUUGCGUUCCAAACCACAUGGCUUGAGGAGGAUAGAGGUGAGCGGAACUGAUGGUGGAGCGGUGAAAUGCGUUGAUAUCAUCAGGAACACCAGAGGCGAAGGCGGCUCACUGGGUCCUUUCUGACGCUGAGGGACGAAAGCUAGGGGAGCAAACGGGAUUAGAUACCCCGGUAGUCCUAGCUGUAAACGAUGAGCACUAGAUCGAGGGGACUUCCACAUCUUCUCGGUCGUAGCGAAAGUGUUAGUGCUCCGCCUGGGGGAGUAUGGUCGCAAGGGCUG